rnacentral:rRNA from 1 species
GGGCCCGCACAAGCGGUGGAGCAUGUGGUUUAAUUCGAUGAUACGCGAGGAACCUUACCAGGGCUUAAAUGUAGAGUGACAGGUCUAGAGAUAGAUUUUUCUUCGGACACUUUACAAGGUGCUGCAUGGUUGUCGUCAGCUCGUGCCGUGAGGUGUCAGGUUAAGUCCUAUAACGAGCGCAACCCUUGUCGUUAGUUGCCAGCAAGUAAAGUUGGGGACUCUAGCGAGACUGCCGGUGCAAACCGAGAGGAAGGUGGGGAUGACGUCAAAUCAUCACGGCCCUUACGUCCUGGGCUACACACGUGCUACAAUGGUAUGGACAAUGAGCAGCCACUACGCGAGUAGGAGCGAAUCUAGAAACCAUAUCACAGUUCGGAUCGGAGUCUGCAACUCGACUCCGUGAAGCUGGAAUC